UCCCAGGAAUCCUGGCGCGUCAGGCCCCGCCCAGUGUCCCAGAGUCCUUUUCGAGCCGGAAGCGGAGCUCGUGCCUGGCGCGUCUGUCUGGUUUGAGGUGGUGGGAGUCGCUGGGCGGGGAGGGUCUGCUGUUGCAACCAGGGCGCCGUAUUGUACCGCAUCCUGCGGGGACUGAGCUUAGGCUGUUGGGCAUCGCUUCCUGGCGGGCCGUCUCCGUGGGCGGGCGACAGGGGCGCUUCACCGAGCGGGUGACUCGCUGAGCCUUGGGGGCCUCCCCGGGGCUGGGGGUGCUCGGAAAGAGGUUUCAGUUAGGACAAGCCGGGAGGGAGGAGAGUUCGGGAACAGAGUGCUAACCGGCGCCCAGGUGUCCUUUUGCUAGGCUUUGGAGAAAGAGUGGGCGAACACCAGCCCCCCAGAAAGGGAAUAGCGCCCCUCUUAAAAAAAAAAGUAAAAAUAUGGGUUGAAGGAUUUUAGUGGACAGUCGUUGUAGGUAUUUAAAGGGAACGGCGUAGAGGUGCUUGUCAUAGGCAUCACCUCCAUAACCUGCUGGGAUAACCCGUGUUUAGUGGGUGCCGCACUCCAGCUCGGUGCGAGACCGCGUCGCAGGUCACGGGCCGACCGACAGAGGGCGCCCUUGCCUGCCCAUUGCCCUCCGCACGGUCCACCUGCUUCCCGGAAUUAGUAAAAAUAAUUUUUACGCCAGUCCUUGGUGGAGAAAUCAGUGAAUCCGGGAAUGCAGUGAGAGAAAAGUGCUGGCCAGAAUCAUGGACCUGUGGCUUUUCUGAACCUGCAAGAAGUCAGGAUUACUUCCAGGCGCUCAUCUGACCUCUCCCUUGGGAGUCACCGUAUGGAUAUGGGGGACUCCUGCCAAGCAGGUCCGAGUCCGGGGUUUCCUUCCCUCCCCAGUUUCCUACAGCCCAGCGUGUGUCUGAGAAGCACAGGAAGAACUGGCCGCCAUGCGAGGUCUCAGAUCAUAUGUUGGCAUCAGACUGCUCGUCAGAAAAAGACUUCUACUCUGUAGGCUUCAAACUGGCAACUUCACCCCAAGACCAGCAGGACGAUGACGACUGCUGUAGAGUGGCUUCGAGCUUCUUGAAGUUAUGGCGAAUUUUUUUUAAGUUUUGAGGUUAAAACAAUUCAGUUUUACAUGAAACCACUGAAGUUAUGUGAGGUCCCUCUAGAUGAUUAUUGGCUAUGAGAUUCUGAACUUGCGUACUUGUGUGGGAGACCAAAACUUGCCGUCUUUUUUUUUUUUUUUUUUUUUACAGGCAGAGUUAGAGACAGAGAGAAAGGUCUUCCUUUUUUCCAUUGGUUCACCCCCCAAAUGGCCGCUGCAGCUGGUGCGCUGCGGGGCCAGCACACCACGCCGAUCGGGAGCCAGGAGCCAGGUGCUUCUCCUGGUCUCCCAUGUAGGUGCAGGGCCCAAGCACUUGGGCCAUCCUCCACUGCACUCCUGGGCCACAGCUGGCCUGGAAGAGAAGCGACUGGGACUAGAACCUGGUGUGCUGGCGCCGCAGGCGGAGGAUUAGCCUAUUGAGCCGUGGUGCAGGCCUUGGCAUCUUGAGUAGGGCUAUUCUCAUUUAAAGACUUGACUUUAAGAAACUAUAUGGGAGAGAAGACACAAACAGGUUUAAAAAAAAAAAAGCUUUUUUUUCAGUGCUCUAAUCUCAUAAAAAUACAAAAUGGUAUAAAAUGUUAGGUACAUACUGUUUGUACUCAGAAUUUCUAUUUAACAUUAUUUUACAAGAACUCAACUCAGCACUGGCGCUGUGGGCUGCAGUCCUUACUUCCGUCACUGGGGGACACACAGCCUCCGGCAGACACUUCCAUGUCACGGUUUCCCUUCCCUCGUCCAUACAGAGUGGAAGGACAGAUGGUGCUUACAAACUUACACAUGUAUUUACACACACACCACGGCGUGCACAUGCUAGCUGUGUUUUUUUUUUUUUUUUAAUGGUGAUAGUGUUCUAUGGUGCUAAUAAUUAUAGUGAAAUAGAGCGCCAGAGGGGAGAAUAACAGAAAUACAGGACCAGGAAUACGUCUACAGGCACGUGCAAGUGACUUGAUACAGGAACACAGAGUGAUAAGACAGCAGCCUUACGGUUUUAAAGACCAAAUGAAGGUCGGGUAAGAAAAACCAGUACUUAGGUUUGCAGGAAGCAGAGGCUCAGGGAAUUUCGAUCUUAUCAGAAGCCUGCCUUAAGCAAUGCGAUGGGAAAAACCUGAUUAGUCCUUUCUAGGCACAUUACCCCAAGCAGUGUGUUAGCUGAGACAAGAGUAGGUGUCAGGUUACCUAGUUGCUCUUGAGUGCCUUCCCUUUAAUCACUGCCAGGUUAACUAAGCUCCAUUCCCUCUGCAAAAUUUGCUGAUAGUUUUGGUCACAAUACCCCUUGUGAAGUUCAUGGCUUUCUAGGGUCUUUCUCAUUUAGUCGUGUGUUUAACAAGACUUAGCUGUCUGUUAGUUUAUCCCAGUUAUGUAAUUAGACCCCCUUACGGGUGGGUGCAGAGUUGUCUUUAUGAAAACUGAGCUGAGUGGGAGUAGUGAGCAUGUGAAGUGCCCGGAUCUUGGUUUCUCAACAGCUACCUGUGAAAAGGAGCCAGGAAGUCUUAAUGGAAGUGUUUCCUUCCACAUGUGGGGCAUUGAAAGUGCAAGACAAGGUUGAGAUAGCUUAUGUCAGAGGACAAUGUCAAAAGGACGUGUGGAGCCACUGUAAGGGUUCCACCUGGCCAAAUCUGGGACAAUUUGAACAUCAGAACAGACCAAAGUUGGCUGACAUGUUUUCAGUACUGCAGAUGACACACGCCUUACUGGCGAUGACACUCCAAAACUGAUAAUUAAAAGGAAUUGAGGGGGCCGGCGCCGUGGCUCACUUGGUUAAUCCUCCGCCUGCGGCGCUGGCAUCCCAUAUGGGCACCAGGUUCUAGUCCCAGUUGCUCCUCUUCCAGUCCAGCUCUCUGCUGUGGCCCGGGAAGGCAGUGGAGGAUGGCCCAAGUGCUUGGGUCCCUGCACCUGCAUGGGAGACCAGGAGGAAGCACCUGGCUCCUGGCUUCAGAUCAGCACAGCGCGCCAGCCAUGGCAGCCACUUGGUGGGUGAACCAACGGAAGGAAGACCUUUCUCUCUGUCUCUCUCUCACUGUCUGUAACUCUGUCAAAUAAAUUAAAAAAAAAAAAAAGAAUUGAGAGUGAUUCUGCUCUAGUACGCUCCAAGUAGAUGACAGGAAAGCAAUUCAAUAAAUGUAGAAAGAACGAAGAAUUUGAAAAAUUACCAGUUUGUUAAAAAAAAGGAACUGAUUGAGGCAAGAUCAUGGGGAACCACAAUGACCUGGUACCAGAUUAACCUGAAUCCAGUCACACCUUUGGCCCUUUUCACUUUACAGAAAUGACAGGGGGAUACAGAAACAACCCACAUUGGUAACAUGCAAUUAAAUCCCAAGACAUUCUACAAGGAAACUGAUCGGCUCUCUUAAAAAAAAAAAAAAAAAAAAAAAAGGACAGGAAAAACCAGGGGCUGCUUGGCUUCGUUUCAGGGUUAAGCUGCCACUGAGACACCCACACCCUAUGUCGGAGUGCCCGAGUUCAAGUCCUGACCCUUCUAAUCCCAGAUUUCUGCUAGUGCAUGCUCUGGGAGGCAGAGGUGACGGCUCACGUGGUUGGGUACCUGCCACCCAUGUGAGAGAGCCCGUGGAGGCUCCCAGCUUCGGCCUGACCCAGUCCUGGCUGUUGCAGGCAUUUAGGGGGGAGUGAACCAGCAGAUCGGGGAGUGCUGUCUCCGUUCCUCUCAAAAAACACCACCACAGGGUUAUUCUAGAUAAACCCUUAACAAUGAAGUACAAUGCAAUGUGUGAACAUUGGCUGGAUCAGUCUUCA